GCAUAUCAAUAAGCGGAGGAAAAGAAACUAACAAGGAUUCCCCUAGUAACGGCGAGUGAAACGGGAAUAGCUCAAAUUUAAAAUCUGGCUGUCUUCGAUAGUCCGAGUUGUAAUCUAUAGAAGUGUUUUCCGUGCUGAACUGUGUCUAAGUCCCUUGGAACAGGGUAUCAAAGAGGGUGACAAUCCCGUACUUGGCACAAUCAUCAGUGCUCUGUGGUACAUUCUCUACGAGUCGAGUUGUUUGGGAAU
rnacentral:rRNA from 1 species